UGACAGUGACAUGGCCGUGGUCCCUGUAUCUGGCCCAGGUGCAGAGCAGAUCCCAGAUUAGACAGACGGGCUUAAACCUUCUGUUGUCCAUCAGCUGUGAUGAAAGUCUUGGUCUGACAGGUACACAACAUGUAAUCCACCAAGAAGAGACUGGAGCGUGUUGUUUAAGCAUGAAGACAACACUACAACACUGUAGACUGGAGCGUGUUGUUUAAGCAUGAAGACAGCACCACAACACUGUAGACUGGAGCGUGUUGUUUAAGCAUGAAGACAGCACCACAACACUGUAGACUGGAGCGUGUUGUUUAAGCCUGAAGACAGCACCACAACACUGUAGACUGGAGCGUGUUGUUUUAAGCAUGAAGACAACAUCACAACACUGUAGACUGGAGCGUGUUGUUUAAGCAUGACGACAGCACCACAACACUGUAGACUGGAGCGUGUUGUUUAAGCAUGAAGACAACAUCACAACAUUGUAGACUGGAGCGUGUUGUUUAAGCAUGAAGACAACAUCACAACACUGUAGACUGGAGCGUGUUGUUUAAGCAUGACGACAGCACCACAACACUGUAGACUGGAGCGUGUUGUUUAAGCAUGACGACAGCACCACAACACUGUAGACUGGAGCGUGUUGUUUAAGCAUGACGACAGCACCACAACACUGUAGACUGGAGCGUGUUGUUUAAGCAUGACGACAGCAUCACAACACUGUAGACUGGAGCGUGUUGUUAAAGCCUGAAGACAGCACCACAACACUGUAGACUGGAGCGUGUUGUUUAAGCAUGAAGACAGCAUCACAACACUAUAGACUGGAGCGUGUUGUUAAAGCCUGAAGACAGCACCACAACACUAUAGACUGGAGCGUAUUGUUUAAGCAUGAAGACAGCAUCACAACACUAUAGACUGGAGCGUGUUGUUUAAGCAUGAAGACAGCAUCACAACACUAUAGACUGGAGCGUGUUGUUUAAGCAUGAAGACAGCAUCACAACACUGUAGACUGGAGCGUGUUGUUUAAGCAUGAAGACAGCAUCACAACACUGUAGACUGGAGAGUGUUGUUUAAGCAUGAAGACAGCAUCACAACACUGUAGACUGGAGCGUGUUGUUUAAGCAUGAAGACAGCAUCACAACACUGUAGACUGGAGCGUGUUGUUUAAGCAUGAAGACAGCAUCACAACACUGUAGACUGGAGCGUGUUGUUUAAGCAUGAAGACAACACUGUAGACUGGAGCGUAUUGUUUAAGCAUGAAGACAGCACCACAACACUGUAGACUGGAGCGUGUUGUUUAAGCAUGAAGACAGCAUCACAACACUGUAGACUGGAGCGUGUUGUUUAAGCAUGAAGACAGCACCACAACACUGUAGACUGGAGCGUGUUGUUUAAGCAUGAAGACAGCACCACAACACUGUAGACUGGAGCGUGUUGUUUUAAGCAUGAAGACAGCAUCACAACACUAUAGACUGGAGCGUAUUGUUUAAGCAUGAAGACAGCAUCACAACACUGUAGACUGGAGCGUGUUGUUUAAGCCUGAAGACAGCAUCACAACACUAUAGACUGGAGCGUGUUGUUUAAGCAUGAAGACAGCACCACAACACUGUAGACUGGAGCGUAUUGUGGAGGCUUGUUGAGAUGGGUCUGUUGACACGCUGGGUGUAUUGUAUGUAUAGUGUCCAUGGGUUAAUAAGAAGAGCACAUUUUAGAAUAGGAUAAUUAUAACCGAUUGCCAAGUAAGAUAGACUGUGAAAUGCAUAGUUGGUUCAAUUUCUUACUCAAUAAAAUUGCUUUCUACUAUU